ACCGACACUAUAAUAUAUUAAUCAUUCUCAUUUAAAUUAAUUUGCUUGUAGUAAUAUUGGUCUUGAGUAAUUUAUUUUAGUUUGAAUUAUAUUUUAUGGAUGUUGCGGCGCUUCAACCCUACCAGCGUCACUCGCAAUAUUUGGCAGUAUCAGGAUUUUGACUUUGAAUUGUUAAUUUUGGCCUCAUGGGAUAAAAUUAUUGUUGUUUAAGCAGGCUGGAGGCGUGGGACUUGGACAUGGAUGGAUUGUGCGAGACGCAAGGCUUAUGCCACCCAGAGCACCAACAAAUGCUGACCUACAACACCCUUCAAGAAUGUCAAUUGUGUUCUAACAGCAUAAAGGGCUCAAGAAGGACAAGGACAACCAUGGGUCACCUCACUUGGCUCAGCUUUCUUGCAAAAUGCGAGACGACUGGAUGACUACAUCAGAAUGGUCAGAGUAAUGAGUGGGCGAAUGGUGGUUGAACGUCAUCCUCCUGCCUCAAGGAACCCAUAUCUGCAUCAGGUCAAUGUAGCUGAAAUUCGGCUGGCAAGUUGGUUUUCGGCAUAGCAACCACCAGGACACCAUGGUGACCAAGGGUCAGCACUCGCGUAUGAUCACAGGCUGGAGGCGUGGGACUGGGACAUGGAUGGAUUGUGCAAGACGCAAGGUUCAUGCUACCCAGAGCACCAAAAAAUGCUGACCUACAAGACCCUUCAAGAAUGUCAAUUGUGUUCUACCAGCAUAAAGGGCUCAAGAAGGACAAGGACAACCAUGGGUCUCCUCACUUGGCUCACAACUGUACAACUCACUACUUCAUCAAGAUAAUGUAGCUGAAAAUUAACUGGCAACAGAAGUUUUGCAGAGAAUCUACCUGCAAAGUAUCCACAAAGUCAACAUGGUGACCAAGGAUCAGUACUACCCAACGAGUAAAUACUAAUCAAAUAACACCACCAAACGCAAGCAGAACUGAAAUCUCCGCGUUGCCUGAUUGAGGUGUUGGAAAGAGGCUUUCCUCAAUCAGACUUUCCCUCAUCAAAAGAUCAGUUCUGAUGGAGAUAAGGAGAAGAAGCUGGCAUACCUGUUGUUUUGAGAAGGUCACAAUUCAAGGACAGAUCCUCCUUGUUAAUGAAAAAAUCAUACUGAGGAAGCCAUGCAGUUUCAACACUUGAAUAGAGCUAGCAGUGCCAAUAAUAAGUGGUAUUGGUACAGAUCACACAAUGCUUCUCACCGCACCACAAUUGGACAAAAUCAUCUGGACAUCAUCAUACUGUGACAUCAUCAUCAUCAUCACUACCAUCAUGACACCUUUAAACACCACCAAGCAGGGAUUGCGCAGAGUAACUGUAGCGGCUCAGUGAGUCUUUGAACACUUGGCAAAACAAUUAUUAUUAUUCGUUUUUCGUCUCUAAUAUUUAUAUUUAUUUAGAAUAUUUAUUUAUUGAUGAUUAUUAUAUUUCAGGUUAUUAUCCUUUUUUAUUAUUACUUCUUAAAAUUUUGAACUCACCUGAGCACAGACUUGAUGCGAUUUCACUUUUUACAGUGAUGUGCUGAAUAUUUGAAGUAGCUUGAUUUCUCCUUUAUAGUGAAUUGUUUGAAAUUUCAUAAAAAUAAUUUCAAAUUUUAUAAACAUAAAUAUUUAAAAAUCGUUUGAAAUUUUCUAGAUAUUAAUGAGAGAUCGACAAGAAAUAGCAUUGUCCAAUACAUUGUAAUUUAACAGUAUUGUUGAAAAUUAAAUUGAAAUUUAAAUCUCUCAAUUUUGGAAGGAAUUGCGAGUUUAAUUGAAAUUUUAUAUAUUAGACUGAGUUCUUAUGAUAAUGAUAAAUAAGUUAAAGUAACACUUGAAAUUGACAAAGUCUUCCUUCAUUACUAAUCAAAUUAUAUCCGUUCGAUAUGUUUACUGCAUGCUUUCAUUCCAUUGAUUCAUUCUUCACUUUCAUUUGCAUGAUGAUUAUGAUGAUGAAAUUUCACUUUUAAAUGUUUUGCAUAGGCUACAUGAGUUUCCACUGAUGGAACUCAUUCCAUCAGUUCAUAUUAAUAUUCUAUAGCAAUAUUGUAUUGCUUUUCCCCGACUCUAUUUUAAUUUCUUCUAAUUCUAUUUCUGAAAGUAAAGGUUAGCUUUUCUCUUUAUAUUUGAUCGAUUUAAUAGAAAAGGAAUGUUUGACAAGAGUGGGCUCUAACCAAAACUGCAUCUAUUCAGAAUUAUAAAGUUGUGAAGAAUAUAAGAAUCUUAUCUUCCAUUCUUUACAGUUUUAUCUAAGUUUGAAAUCUUGAUGAAUCUCUCAUAUUUCGGGACUGUCUAAGCUUUCUGUGUCAGUUGCUUGUCAUAUCUUGAGCAUGUUAUUAAUCUCAAUUUGAUUCUGCAGUAUCAGAUGUAUGGAUGAGAUGCCAUCUUAACUCUGUCCCAUUUUGAAGGGUUAUUAUAAUAUAUGACCGAGGCUGCUCAGCUUCACUUUUGACAAUCCCAUAUGUGCUCAUAUCUUUUAUCCAGACUCGGUUUCCAACUUUCACUCACUAAAAUGAAUAUUUACACUUCGAAAAACAAACAAAUCUUCCAUCAAAAAUAGAUAGCCUAUCAUAAAUAACUAAAUGAUUUAUGUAUAUUGUGUGAAAUAAAUAUUGUGACUGGUGUCGAGCGAUUAGAGCAAGUUAAUCAUUUUGAAUACUUGGGAACCGUCUUUAGCAGGUAACCCUCUUCAUAAAAUAUAUAUAUUCGUAUGGUCAGGGGAAUUAUUGUUUAUUGUUUUCGAAGGGACGGAUUCAAGGAUCCAAAGGUUCAAAGAACCCCACACGUCAACCGAAGCUAAUUGUG